GGCGUGGCAUACGGCUCAGUAACACGUAGUCAACAUGCCCAAAGGACGUGGAUAACCUCGGGAGACUGAGGAUAAACCGCGAUAGGCCAAGGUUUCUGGAAUGAUCCCUGGCCGAAAUCUAUAUGGCCUUUGGAUUGGACUGCGGCCGAUCAGGCUGUUGGUGAGGUAAUGGCCCACCAAACCUGUAACCGGUACGGGCUUUGAGAGAAGGAGCCCGGAGAUGGGCACUGAGACAAGGGCCCAGGCCCUAUGGGGCGCAGCAGGCGCGAAACCUCUGCAAUAGGCGAAAGCCUGACAGGGUUACUCUGAGUGAUGCCCGCUAAGGGUAUCUUUUGGCACCUCUAAAAAUGGUGCAGAAUAAGGGGUGGGCAAGUCUGGUGUCAGCCGCCGCGGUAAUACCAGCACCCCGAGUUGUCGGGACGAUUAUUGGGCCUAAAGCAUCCGUAGCCUGUUCUGCAAGUCCUCCGUUAAAUCCACCUGCUCAACGGAUGGGCCGCGGAGGAUACCGCAGAGCUAGGAGGCGGGAGAGGCGAACGGUACUCAGUGGGUAGGGGUAAAAUCCAUUGAUCUACUGAAGACCACCAGUGGCGAAGGCGGUUUGCCAGAACGCGCUCGACGGUGAGGGAUGAAAGCUGGGGGAGCAAACCGGAUUAGAUACCCGGGUAGUCC
rnacentral:rRNA from 1 species